CAACCAUUAUUGUGUGUGAGUGUGCGCGCAGCUCGCAGGAGCCAGGAUAUGGUCACGAUUGGUACGACGUUGCUGUUGGGUACAGGCUGUCCUUCCCUCCAGUUUGUGUGUGCUCUAGAUUGCCUGCAUAUUUGCUGUUCGCUGAUUAUGGAUAAAGCUGUGAGUAACUGAACCCGUGGGUUUAGCGAUCUACUUCCGGGUAUGUAUAUCUAGUCCUUUGAGCAUUAUUGGGAUGGUGUCUUUGACUGAUUUUAUUAAUUUUUGUCCAUUUUAGUGCAUCUGCUCGUGAGCCCUUUGUUACUGUGGACUGCAGGGCAAAUGCUCCUUAGACAGCGUUAAGACUGCACUGUUUGUUCUGCUGCUAUUUUUACGACUGUGACCAUUUGCAUUUGAUUAUUACUUUCUGGCUUUGUUUGUUUUUCACGCUCAUGCUGGUGGGUUAGGUGGAGGGUGGCUAGUCCGAGUCGUCAUUUAAAGCGAGCUGUACCGUUCACGGUGCCUGCUUAGCUCCACCGGCUGUUAUAUUGCCACCAGCAGCGUGUUUGUUUUGUUUAUCUAUUUUUUUUGUUUCUUUUUCUGAUCUGCCCUCUUCCUAAGGACGGCGUGGAAACAUCGGGUAAUAUCUCGUACCUGGGAAGAUUACGUUUUUUGUUUUGUUUAAUGUUGAUUUGAGUCUUUUUGCUUCAAUUUUUUGUUCUUUAUAACUUGUUUUUUUUGUAUUUUAUGUGAUUUAAUUAGAAGCCUGCUGUCUUCACUUGUAUUGUUUGCUUUAUUUCUUCUUUCUGGUUUUGUUCUUCUCCUUAACCUCUUGCUGCUCCAUGGCAUGUCUAGGUCCAUGAGCUUUUGGCACGAACCUAGUUGAGUCUUUACAUCUCUCUGUCUGACCCUUGUGGCCAGUAAAUUGUCCAUUGUUGUUCCCCUUCAUGGUUUGAACUUAUUCCAGUGCAAGUUGUUGGAUUGCAUGUGAGUUGAACUAAUGUUUUUUUUUUUUUUUUCUCUUUUUUCCUUUUUUUCGUUUAUUUCAGGAGCUGAAGGCCCCAGUGAGGGAAGCUAGCUGCCUUGGCCCUGUGGUGGUGGUGUUUCUCUCACAGAGUGUUUUGCUAUUUGAUAUCUGCGUCUCCCUCACUUAGAGUGGGUGUGGUGUGAGCGUGAGUGUUUUGAGUAGUGUGUCUUAGGAUACUGUUCAGCUAGCUGCCCUACUGGUAAGCCUCAGCCGCAAAGUUUCUUGUUUUCUUUACUUCUUUUUGUUGUUUGGUCAACAGUUUAUUACAUUUUAUUGUGCAAUAAAGGUAUUUUUGUAUUUAUA